rnacentral:rRNA from 1 species
GACAGAGGGGGCAAGCGUUGCUCGGAAUUACUGGGCGUAAAGGGCGCGUAGGCGGGAUGGCAAGUCGGUCGUGAAAUCCCUCGGCUCAACCGAGGAACGUCGAUCGAUACUGCUGUUCUUGAGGAUUGCAGAGGAGACUGGAAUUCCCGGUGGAGCGGUGAAAUGCGUAGAGAUCGGGAAGAACGCCAAGGGCGAAGGCACUCUGCUAGGCCUGAUUUCGCGACUGACACUCAGGAACGAGAGCCAGGGGAGCGAAUGGG